GUUAGAGCCCAGGCUUCUAUGUUUGAAAGAUUCCUGCUGAGCUGGAAGUGUCUUCUUCCUGGCUCUCUCUCCUGAGUGGGGAUUAUUUUAUGACUCCCUGGGCUUGAAGUCUCUUCUUCUUGGCUCUCUGUGAGGCCUCUGUUUUCUCUAUUGGAUUCCGCUGCUCUUGUGGGAACUUCUCAGUUCGCUGAAACCCCCUUCUUGGACCUCUGCUGACUGUAAGCUCCACCAACUCUGUCUGCUUCUUUUCUUGUUGGCAUGAUUUUGCUGAGGAUGAUUUGGAACUUCAUUGGCCUUUUUGGAAAAUCUGAGGUCUCCCCAAACUGGCUCCCCUGUGAUGGCUCCCUUCCCAUCGCGUCUGUUCCUCCUUCCCCCUCUUACCACCUUCAGUUUUCCUUCCAGUUGCCUUGAAUCCUUUGACAUGUCCGUCUUCAAACUCCGACCUCCUGCAUCUUUCUGUCCACCCUGCUGGACUUCUCCCCUCCCACUUCAGCCCCUCAGCCUCCUACAGUCACUUGAAUUUUAGGCCCCCUACCCUCCAACAGGGGCUCUCGAGGGACUCAGGGACCUCCGAAAGCAACCACAUCAGGCUGAAAAGAGAAAAAAGGCUAUUUAGAAACAGAACUGGAUGCAUGGUCCACUCAGAUGUGCUUUGGAGGUGUCCAGACAGCUGCUAGAUGUCCCCUCAGUCUCUGGCCUAAAACUUAGUCCACAGCCUUCGUACGGUUGCCCAUCAGGGCAAAGAAAAUACUAAAAGUGGCCUCCACAAAUAUUGGUAUACAGGUAUUUCCUCCAGGCCAGACUGCACCAGGAUAUAACCUGAGGAUGUGGGAGCCUACAACUUCAACAUUGUUGAGUUACCAUUGUGUGUCAAUGCCAAGAUUCCUGCCUUCUGCCCUGCCCCCAGCACUUCUGAUGCUGCAUUGUAUCAGCACACGCAGAUGAAUCUCAGACCACCCAGAGCUAAGAAACUUCUCUUCAGAAUGGUCUCAUUUGGAGACAUUGAGAGGAAUGGCUUCCCUUCCUUCGCUGGAUUUUAGCAUAUUUUGGAGCAAGGAUAGAUGACAGCUUUGAGAAGAUGAGAUGCUGUGAGCGCUUCGGAACCCUCAGGUCAACUGAUAAAACUGAAGCCCCAACAGUUUGACUUGUCCGAGGUGACAUAGCGAAAACGGGAGUAGGACUCAAGAAUUGGAUCCAAGCCACCGUCUGACCGCCAUAUUGAAAUGCCUAUAUAAUAGACUCUCCCAGAUUCUGGCUCUGCUGAAGAAACCAAACGAAGGUCGAUAGGUUUACAGUCUCCUUCUCUACAAGAAUCUGUUACACCAAUGUCGUUAGUAAAGGCAGCUCUGCUCUCACUGUGGAGGACACAGCGAUCAUGUCUGUCCUAGGCUGCUCUGCUUCUUGCUCAUCAGCCUGGGCUUGCUUUCUCCUGUGCCUCUUGAAGGAUCUAGACAAUUACAGAAAGAACAGCAGGGCAUUACAUUUUCUUGGUAAGGUUAGGGUUUUGAGCUCUCUUUCUCUACUGCCAUGUUGGUCAUCAGCGCUCGCCCCAGCUCCCUGAUGUCCUCCUUGCUCCACGCCAGCAGCCUGGAGGAGUGCUUGCUGUCACAAAGCCUGGAGUCAUGGUCUGCCCCGCCACCUCCCUGGCUGGCUGGGCAACCUCAGAGAGGCCGCUUGACUCUCUGAGUGCUGAUAUCUUUACCUGUAGAAUGAAGAUUGUAUCAUUUGCUUCACCUUCCACGUAAAGAUGUUAUGAGUCUCAAAUCAAAAGAAU
rnacentral:lncRNA from 1 species